rnacentral:rRNA from 1 species
CUACGGGCGGCACCAGUGAGGAAUAUUGCACAAUGGGGGGAACCCUGAUGCAGCAACGCCGCGUGGAGGAUGACGCAUUUCGGUGUGUAAACUCCUUUUAUAUGUCAAGAAAAUGACGGUAGCAUAUGAAUAAGCACCGGCUAACUCCGUGCCAGCAGCCGCGGUAAUGCGGAGGGUGCAAGCGUUACUCGGAAUCACUGGGCGUAAAGGACGCGUAGGCGGGCUUGUAAGUCAGGUGUGAAAUCCUACAGCUUAACUGUAGAACUGCACUUGAAACUACGAGCCUAGAGUAUGGGAGGGGCAGAUGGAAUUAGUGGUGUAGGGGUAAAAUCCGUAGAUAUCACUAGGAAUACCUAAAGCGAAGGCGAUCUGCUGGAACAUAACUGACGCUAAGGCGUGAAAGCGUGGGGAGCAAACAGGAUUAGAUACCCCUGUAGUC